UCAGUGUCCAACUUGUUUUUUGAAGUCAGCAUAAUCACAUCAAAAGCUGACAAGUCCCUUCUCCCUCUUCCCUCAGACUCUGCUCUCCUCAGUGGGCAGGACUCUGUGCUUCUCCAAAUCACACCCUACUUCAGUGUCUAGUUCAAAUCCUACCACCUCCAAGAAGUGUUCCCCAAAUGCAUAUCACAUUAGAUGUAUAGAUGUUAUAAAAUUGUAUCUAUUUAUAUAGUUUCAGAGCUGAAAGGAGGCUUUGAGAUCAUUUUAUGAAGUCCCAGCAAGUCUCCAGCCAGAACCGGAAAACAAGCCUCCCAACAUUUUGUUCAGGGUUCUUUUCACCACACUAUUGAAGGUCACUCUUCAACGCAGCAACAUUAUGAAGUGGAAAAGAGGACACAGGCUUUGGUUGGAGUUACUUUAAUGUAGACUUCUCCUUAAUUGCUUUUUGAAAUAGUUUGUGUAGCAUCAUAGAGAAACAUUUCCAUCCCUAAACUUGUAAUGUAAUCUUAUGAAAUAUCAGAAGACUACACAAAGAUGACCUAAAAUAUUAAUAUUUUAAGAGUGGUCUUGACUUUCUCUUGUGACCCUGUAUUAUGGGGAAGGAACCACCUCUUACAAAAUACCUACUACUAAGUGUGGGGAACUUCUGUAAACCAGAUGUGAUGCUAAACAAUUUAUAUGCCUUCAUUUACCCAGUCCUAACCCUAAUCCUACAGGCCUGCCUCGUGGUGCUGGCAGGAACAGAUGGCACAUACAUAAGGGUAGCUAAAGAGACAUUAAUGAACGAAUAAUUUACAAAGGUGUCUUCAUCAUGAAGAGAGCACAAAAAGGAGCAGCUGAAACACUCAGGGACUAGGUCUUCAGAGGCCAAGUGGAGGGGAUGGUGCCCCCAGAACUUGAGCAAAAUAAAUGCCCUUACAGAGGGCUCUGUGUCUCCAUGGAGGACAGCAACCAUGGGCCAGUAGGCAGAGGAUGAGGAGGAAUGAUAAUCUCAUUCCCCUCCAGCCCUGGGACACUGCUUCCCAUGGCUGAAUCCAGAUACUCAGAGAGAUUCAGCUGAUCUCGCUAGAGUUCAGCCUUCAAACAUAGGGCAGAGAAGUAGACCCCACCAGGUACUGCUGCCUUACAGAUGAAGAAACCAAGGUACCCCAGGACUCAUACCCAGGCAUUUCAGAUUCCAAAGCUAUGAUCCUAUUUGCCUUGCUGACCACCAAAAGGUGUACAGGGGAUGUACACUAUACUCUUUUUCUCUGCGUAUUUUUGCUUUCUUAUUAGACAAAGUCUUGAUACAGCAAGUUUCCUUUUAUCCUGUAUGUAGUUGGAAGGUCUGAUGCUCAAAAGGUACAAAAAAUGUCAAUUAAGUAAAAAUUGUCUAUUAACCUAGUGUGGUAUGGGAGUGUGGAUGUGGGUGUAUGAGAGACUGAGGCAGGGAAAACACAUCAACACAUAUACUUUUUUAAAAAGCAAACCUUUCCUGGUGCAGUUCUACAGGAUCCUGUCAGAUCUUGUAUUUUCUCUAAGUUACAACAAAGCAAGAGUACCAUUUUUUUCACUCUAUAAGAUAAAACUUCUGUCAAUUAGGAAAAACAAUGCUGAUCUCUGGUUCCUUUAAAUUCCCCAAUUUCCACUUAUAGUUCUGGGGAGGAGCAUCAAGAGACCUCAAAUCAGAGCGUUGGCCACAUGUGCGUGAACAGAAAAAUGGACACCUACUUUAAGCCUUAUCCAAAAUUUCAGUUAAUUUUCUUUUUUUCUUCUUAAUUUUUGUGGAUGCAUUGUAGGUGUAUAUAUUUAUGGGGUGCAUGACUUGUUUUGAUAUAGGCAUGCAUCAUUUUAUUAGGGUGCUUUGUCUGGAGCUUAUUUUUUACUAACAAAGCAAAUAAGAAAAGUAAAAACCAAGUAAUGCAAACAUAAAAUAUCACCCUUUAUUAUAAAAUGUACAAUUCUGCUUAUUCUCUAACUAGAACAACUCAACAUAAUGAUAAAGUUGUGAUUGCAAAAGACAGGCAACUGCUAUGGGGACCUUGUUUGCCAUGUUUCUGAUAAUGGUGCAAUUGUAGGAAGCUGGAUCUCUAAUAAAAAGACUAUGGGCUGCUGCAACUCUAGGAAUGGAAGCUUCACAUCUACCAUCUACUGCUUGCUGCAUACCCCACUGCAUCGGUCACUGAGGCGCCCAAUACCUGAGGAAUUGAAAUCAACAUUAUGUUAAGAUGCGGGAGCUCUCAGAGAACAUGCAGCCACUCUUAGGAAGUACAAGAGGACUGGAGGGGGAGUCCUAUAGACUGAAUGCUUCCAUCCCCCCCGCCGGAAUCAUAUGUUGAAAUUCUAAUCCUCAACGUCAUGGUAUUAAGAGGUGGGGCUUUUGGGAGGUGGUGAGGUCCUGAGGGUAGUGCCCUCCUCCAUGAAAUUAGUACCUUUAUGAAAAGAGACAGGAGAAAGCUUGCUUCUUUUGUCUCUUCUCUCCCAAGUAAAGACACACCAGAGGAGAGUCAUCUGCCAACCCGGAAGAGGGCCCUCACCAGAACCUGACCAUGCUGGCACCCUGAUCUCAGGCUGCCCAGGCUACAGAACUGUGAGAAAGAAUUCUGUUGUAUAAACCACCCAGGCUAUGGUAUUGGCAAUAGCAGCAUGAGCAGCAUAAAAUAGGGCAGGUUCAAGGCCUUUACCUAAGAACCUGAUGCUCAAAAGAUACAAAAAGUGUCUAUAUUCCCAUCAACAAUCCAUUCUCCUGAUGAACUUGCCAGUAUCCUGAGGUUUGCAGCCAGGGAAGUCAGCCCAUGUUUGCUAAAUAAAUGAAUGAGAAGUGGAAGUGGAGAUGAUGGAGCAGGUACAUGGCUGAAAACCUGUUUAUGUCAGAGCCCAUUUCCUACCUUUUUACCUACCUAGAAGGCAGCCAGCACUUCUCAGUUCCAUCAUACAGAGAACAUUUUGCUGAGAUGACACCAACUUCCAGUUCUUCACAAAGAUGCAGCCCUCAGCCUUCAGCAUGAGAACAGGGACAUCAGCCUGCUUUGCCCAUGGAACUGUCUCCAGAGCCUACAACAAUGCUCAGCCUAUGAGAGGUGUCUCCUAGAAGACUUUCCAUUUCAACAAGCCUCAUUUAUAUGCAACUGGCAAUUUCUCUAAACAGAAGAAAAGGGGAGAUUUUGCCAAUCAAUUGGCUUCACCAUCCCCCAGCCCCAAAGUGUGUUUAAGAACAUUUGCCUGUGCAUGCAUGUGUUUUCCUUUGCAUCCCACAAGAGGAAG
rnacentral:lncRNA from 1 species